GUGGGGAAUAUUCCGCAAUGGACGAAAGUCUGACGGAGCAACGCCGCGUGAGUGAUGAAGGUUUUCGGACUGUAAAGCUCUGUUGUUUAGGACGAAAGUGCCUGUUGCAAAUAGUUACAGGUAUUGACGGUACUGAACGAGGAAGCCACGGCUAACUACGUGCCAGCAGCCGCGGUAAUACGUAGGUGGCAAGCGUUGUCCGGAAUUAUUGGGCGUAAAGCGCGCGCAGGCGGGAAUCUAAGUCUGUUGUGAAAAUGCGGGGCUCAACCCCGUAUUGCGAUGGAAACUGGGUUUCUUGAGUGCAGGAGAGGAAAGGGGAAUUCCCAGUGUAGCGGUGAAAUGCGUAGAUAUUGGGAGGAACACCAGUGGCGAAGGCGCCUUUCUGGACUGUGUCUGACGCUGAGAUGCGAAAGCCAGGGUAGUGAACGGGAUUAGAAACCCGAGUAGUCC
rnacentral:rRNA from 1 species